UCCUGGGUGGCUCAGUCAGUUAAGCGUCCGACUUCAGCUCGGGUCAUGAUCUCAUGGUCCGUGAGUUCGAGCCCCGCCUCAGGCU
rnacentral:tRNA from 1 species